UUUUUAUUUGGAGGGAUUAAUUUAAAACCUUUUGACCUGGAUACUCAUUUGAUUUGGCUGUAGGAACUAAAUGAGAUGAGAGAUCACAAACAUGAGCUUAAGCCAAUGCUGUGCUCCCAUAAUCCUCCAAAAGCUGUUGGGGACAGCAGGUUUUGAAAGUGUAAUUUAGGAUGUCUCAUGGCUUCUCUUAAAACUGAGGUUGCUGCAGUAGCCUCCUUGGGCCUCCUCUGAACCGAGUAUCACCUGUACACAGUGUACCUGUCCUCAUCCCUCUGGCUUGUCUUGCUUCAUUCCAGCUGUUCCCACUUCAGGAAGGUGGCACCUCAGCCUGUCGUGGCAGUGCCAUAGGCCAGCGAGCAGCACAGCACAGUAGGAGCUGCUGUAGCCCUGGAGAGGAUGAAGAAGUGCCCAGUGAGAGAAUCUUCCUGAAAGAGUCCACUGCAUUUCUGUGUGAACCUUGCCCUGGGGAUAGGAGUGUUGGAUGUGUUUUGCUCAAGAGAGGAGCCCAGCCUUUGUUACACUCUCCUCAUGACUUAAGUAAUAUGUCACAUCAGUGUUCUGAUGCUGUCCUUUCAAAGGCACGGUAAUUAAUAUAAUUUAAAAUUUCUAGCCAAAUGAAUUCUGAUUUAGGAGUUGCACCCGUUUAUAGAAACAGCUGAACAAAAAUUCUCUUGGUCCCCAAAGGAAAUGAUUUAUCAUCUGUGACUGUGUGUACUGCACAAGAAGGAAGACUGUGGUAGUGUAACAGGUUAUAAUCUACCAUGGAGUGGUUGUGCAAAGCUGGAACUCUUGAUCUAUGUUGGAACAGCAUAAAAGGGGGAAAGAUGCAGUGGGAAAAUGUUACCUACAGAAAGCUAUCCAUAAAAAAAAGCAAACCAACUAGUAGGGUUACUUUCAUAUAAAGAAGGCAGUGUAUUUAAGUUGCCUAUGCAUGUCUUGCCCUUUUUUCUACUUGUUCUCCACAUCUUGGUGAUGAUGUGUAUGAAUUACAAUUGCACUUGUGGGUAUGAGCUGAAAUAUCACUCUAGUCCACAAUUCCUUAGUCUGCUGGAAACUUCAAAGGCCUUCAAACCCUUUGUUUUUGUUGCUGGUUGGGGCCUUCUGGCAGCAGUGCCUGAGGUGAAGAUCAGCUGCAGUGAAGAGGGAAAGUGAUGGAGGAGCUGAAGUUGAGAGUUUGCUGCGUGGAUAAGAAAUGGUAGAGUAGCCAGUGAUGUUUGAUGCUUCUCUUCAAGGAUGAGAUUGAAUUACAUAAGGUCGCUCAAGCAUUCUCAGAAAUGAAGACGUGUUUUCGUAAUUUUCUGGAAUAACAUUUUAUCAGUGAAAGACCAAGCAUUAAGUGGUAAAGUCGCUCCUGAUAAAUAGUUAUGAUAUAAUUUAGACCUGCAUUCAGAAAAGCUGUAAGUGUUCUAUGUUUUAUACUGCAGUUCUGGUAAAUUAUUUGUAUGUGCAAUUCAGUAAGCCUUUUUUUUAAUAUCAGUAUAGGACUACACAGUUCAUUUUCCAUACAGUAAUGAAAUAUAUGUACUAUGAAUGUCAUUAUAGUAGCAUUCAAGAUUAUUUGGUUAGUGAACAAUAUGCCAUGACACUUCUUAUUCUUCCACAGCUGAAGAAUUUAGCAAGUUAUCUAGAAAAUUGUAUUGCUGGUAAUCAGUUCUAGGUGAAAAGUUUCUUGAGGAUGCUGAGUCUAAACUUCCUUUGUAGACAGCAGUUAGAAAAAACCUGCACCUGCAUUUCCUGUCUCAAUGCAUAUUGGUUUCAGCAUAGCCUGCCACACUGGCUGAUGGGGCUGUCUUUCAUUUUGCUGGUGAAAAAAGAUGGUGGGGCAGAGAAGAAAGGAAGACAGACCUGAAAGUAAAGGAUACCAGAUGGUAUCACAGAGUUAGGUAACUUCAAUCUUGAAAAUACCCAUCCAUAAAGAGUUUAAAUUAAUAUGGUUGAAUACUGUAAUACUUUAUCUGCUUAAAAUAUAUUUUAAACUACAGUUGGUUAAAAAUGUGUUAGGCAUGGCUGGAGGAACUGGGAAGAGUAUGCUGCGUUUGACUUCUCUGUGUUACCACCUUUCUUAUAAAAUUAGAGCUGGUUUCUAGAUUCACUGUUGUUGAGUUGGCAGUUGGUAAGGAUCUGUUCCUAACCACUUUGUCCAGAAGAUUUUCCAAGGGGAAUUCUGAAAAGAAUAUGUUUAUAAUCACAUUUAACAGAGUAUUGCUUUCUGCUUCACAUGGAUUUCUGCAAGAAGUAAGUUGGAUCAAGAUGCUCUAUCGACUGUCCCUGUUCAUCACUUCCACAAAGGAAGGAAGCAAGCUCAGCUUGAUGAGCACUUCUGCAGACCCUGUUCAUGGUUGUAGGCAAACUGGUUGCAGAAUGUAAGGCGAAGAAACUAAAAAUAGCACCUCUUGUUUGUGGCAGACUUUCUGCUAGUCCUUGUUUCUGCCUCCCCGUAUGUACAAAAAUAUGCAUAUUUAUAUUUUGGAGAAGUAAUAGUCUGUGGGAUAGACUAAAGCAAAUCAGCCAUGACUUUUCUAUGAGCUAGUGAAACAGUUCCUCAGAGACCAAAGAAUUACAAAAUGGGCAGGUUUUUAGGGAUGGCAUGGUUGAGUAAGAAAAAACCUUUUCAGGGGAAAAAGCUGAAGAGUCACUGUUCUCUUGACUCUGAAAGGCAAAACAAGCUUCCAUCUCUAUUUAGACGACAAGAAAAGUUGGCCCUGACAUUAUGAAGGUCUCAGAAGCAAAGAUGUCUUGCUCCCUGAAGGUAGGAAGUGUUUUUGUAGCAGAUGCUGUCUUGUUCUGCCUGCUCUUGGGCAGCCAUAGCAGCGACCAGCAGAACUAGAGCUGUGUAACUUCUUGCUGGGUAAAACUGCACUUCAACCGAAAAAACUCCCAGCCCCAAGACUAAACAAAACAAAAUCCACCAAAAAAACCCCACUCUAGCAGCCCUAGGAUAAGCUAUCAUCAUCCUUAUUUAAUGUCUUCUGUUUGUAACUUUAGCAAACCACUUAACUGGUCUGUGCUUUAGUUUCUUCACUGUAAAAUGAGGAGUGAAGGAGUAAUAAAGUUUAUCUUUAGUGCAGGCAUGCUUAGUAAUUUAAUUCAAGUUUGUAAAGUGUUCAAUGGUAAUUUGAUUUUAAUAAAAGAAUGUUCCUCUAUUGCAAAAGGAGCCUCUGCAGAAAUUUAUGACAAACCUGAUGAUGUGGAGAGGGAGCUUUAUCAGAAGAUCUGUUUAAGGCAGUAGAUAAGUCUCCUAAAAUCUGUUUUGGAAUCUGAUAGUUCAGCAUUUAUUGGGCAGCCUGCAUUCCAGAUGCUUGAUUAGUAGGAAUGAAGAGUCUGUGGAGAUGGUAAUAAGAAAUCUUGCCUAAUCAGGGUGAUGAAUCUUUGCUAUGCUGGAAGAUCAUGCAUUCUUUUGGACAAGCCAACCCAAACAUGCAACACCACCCUCCCUAAAAUCUAGGACCACCAUGCAUUUAGGAAGCUCUUCUGUUUCCCGUAUGUACCUCGGGUUCAGUGCUGUGAUCAGCUGUUGCUGGCUGUAUAUCUGGAGUCAGUUUCUGACCCACAGAAAAUAAACCACUUUUAUGUUUUGAAGAGAUAAUGAUCUGUGGCAUGGACUAAAGCAAAUCAACCGUGACUUUCCUAUGAACUAAUGAAACAAUUUCCAAGAGACCAAACAGUUACAGAGAGUGAUUAUUCUAUUUACCAGCCCCUCCAUAGGAAUCUGCCAACCACUCUGUUUCUCAUCAGUGAAGAAGAAAGUCACAAUGCCGGUGGCAUAAAAGCUGCUGGGCCAGGAUCCACACACGGUGACAUGGACAAAGAGCAGAUGCGUGCAGCAACUGGAGGAGAGAUAAAAGAGCCAUCCUUUAACCGCACUUGCGUCAGCCAAAUCACAACCAGCUGGGUUAUUGCACUGGGCAUUUGUGCUGAUCCACCACACGGCUCACGCAUCACACUACCCUCUGCCAAAGUUGGACUGAGUUUUGAGCCUUCUUGUCCUCCCUCUGUUUUUAGCCACUGGUUUAGUUGAGGGAUGAUGUAGGGCUGAGGUUCCCAGGGGAGGACUGAAUCUGUUGGAAGGAUGAGAGAAACUGUGACUCAGGAAAUUAAGUUCCUCCCCAGCAUGCAGCGAUGAAUGUGCAGACUAUUAUCCUUGCACUACUGCAACCUGUUUCCCUUGGUUGGUUGUAUUUUUGGACACUGGAGUGGCCUCUGUGUCUUCUCAUCUGCUUUUAGCUCAGAGGGAGCGAUUUGUAUUUCUAGAGGCAAGGUUCAAGAGCAGUCCUUGCAUGUAGUGCUCUGCACUCCAAGGCCAUAAGCUCAUGCAGGGCCAACUUCAUCCUCAGUCAAAGACAAGUCUCAGCUGGCUGACAGAGCUGAGUUUCCCAGAGCUUGGGAUUGUAGCUAAGCCAUGUGCCAGUAGAGUUUGGACUGCUAAGAGAGGUCCUAGAAGCAUCAAGGAAACGCCUGGUUUAUGACUAAUAAAAUUUAAUGAAGCUGCUUGACUGUCCAGUUGUAAGAAAAAAUGAGUCAGUAUGUGCUGGUUUGGACAAAAGCAAGGAAUUGCCCAUCUUGCAACCAUGAUUAAAACCAUUACAUCUACCACAUGCCGCCAGUUUCUAAUUUGUGUCAUGGCAAAACUGCUUUAGAAGAAAAAAGCAGACUAGAGUAUAUCCUGCAAAUAUGUUACAACAUAACUACUGUCCAAGUAUAAAUAUCUCUGUGGAGACUGUAAGGUGUCCCUGUAGUCCUCACCACUUUCACUCUGUGUGGCUCUCCAGAUGAUUUGUGUACAAGCUCUAGCCAGAAGGAAAUGGAGCAAUAUUUCUCUGUAUUUAUUCCCAUAAGAUGUAUCUCGCUAGUGGGGAUACAAAUCUCUUACGACUCAGUGUGUGAACGUUGCAGAAUUGGAUGAGGUUGGGUGCUGUUGCCCUUUCUGUUUCAGAGCUGUGGGAGGCUUAUCUAAGAGAUCAAAGUGCAUCAGAUUCCAUUAUUUCAGUAUCUAUGGGACAGUAUAAUGCAUGAAUGCUCUGGGACGAUGCCCGUGUCUGACUUUUAUUCAUCACUGUAAUUAAAGCCAGAUACAGAGCUUGUUCUGUGCACUGAACAUUAAUCACAGUGUUUUAUUAACAGAGUUGUCAAAAUCUUUAAUUCAGACAUCGUAUAAUUCUGCAGUAUAGAUUAAGACUAGUAUUUAUUUUGCCUGAAUACAUUAAUUUUAUUUAAAGUUCAGAAAGAGAAGGGAUUGCUCUCAGGUUUUGAACAAAUGAGUGCAAGCACUGCUUGACUGCUGACGUACGAAACUGCUCAACUGGUUUGGUUUGUACUGUUGCUUAACAAAAAGCGGUGAAUUUAUUGCUGUAUUCAGUUGAAAAUACAUAAAAGGUUCAGCAAACUAAUGCUCUAAAUUCAGAUUGAGUUAAGACACUAAAAUUAAUAUUUUAGCAUCGAUAGACUUUAGGUGCUGUAGUAAUACUUGCUUAAUUGCCAUUGUCAGUUUCGGAUGUUUUGGAAUUUCCCUUGGUUGUUUUCUGUUUAAAUAUCACGAUGUAGUGCAGUUGCAUCCAUAUAUCUUCAGUUUCGCUUAUGAAAUGCGCCUAAGACAUUGCUUUAGCGUCUGCUUCACAGAGUUCUUUAAUGUUGCAUCUAUGUAUUUGGAGACCUUAAGGCAGUUGUGGAUUGUCCCGUGGAGAAUGGUGUCCUUGGAAGUAUACUACUCUUCUUGGAAGGGAAGAGAAUCAGUUUUAAAAUUCAAGCAAAAAUAUUUAACUUUAAAUUAACUGUUAAUUCUUUACUUGGUUAGUGCUUUUUCACCUCCCAGUUCCCAGCUCUCCGAGUCUCUCUGGGCUGUUUUGGUUGUGCUCACAAGAACUAAUGAAAUCCCCUGUGCAGUCACUAAACUGAAUUACAGGCCCACACCUCUACUUGACCAUUUUUAGGGAUCUGCUGAUUGGAAGCUGGUGAGGAGCCCUGCAUAGGUAGUGAUGCACUAAGGUCUGUCCUGAGCUGAGAAAACUUUUCCUGCCCUGGUCUCCCACCUCUUCAGCUAAUGGCACCUUCAUGUUGCUGCAGUGGCUGAGCUGGCCAGGUACCCCAGUGGCUGGGCUGAGUUAGAUGGUGGCCUUUGGCCCAAACCUGAGUGAGAUGCUUGGUUAUUUUCCCACUGCCCUCGAUUGGAAGUGGGAAUGUGGUAUUUAAUCCACUGGAGUGGGUUUGUAUGAUAGCUCUCCUGGAGUUGUGCUGGCUUGUGUAUAAUCAUUCGAAUUGCAAAUGAGGUGCAGGGAGGGAUUUUAUAUUAUGUCUGAAUAUAGAUAAACUCCCUGAAACUUCUGAGACCUGAAGUUAUGUUUACUUUACUGUGUGGCUAAACUGCUGAAAGUAAGUUUACCAAAGAAUUCUCAUCCCUUCUGUAAAUAUAGUGGGUUUCUCAGUUUAAAGUGGAUGGAGUCAGGUAUUCAAAGAGACAGAGUUUAAUGGUGAGUUUUGCUUUUAAAAGUCCUUUAGGAAAUAAAAAAGUACUAUCCACACAAAAUUUCAUGCUCCAAGUAAUCUUUUAUUUCCUCUAGAAACUGUAUUCUUGUUCAAUGAGUAACCUGGUUUUUCCUGCCUCCCAGAAGAAGCAAGAUGACCUAGAUCUAGAGCUUCCUGGGGAAAAGUUCACUUCACCCUAUAUAUAGUGUCUCCUGAAGUGUCUUUAUGUAGCUGUCAUUUACUCUGAGCUGAUGAACUGAAAGAGAAGAGAGCUGAAAUUUUAGGCUGAGGUAGGAGAGUGUUUUAUCUCUCCUUUUUUAGGGGGUCUAUCUUAUGCAGAUGUCACUAACUGGAUUACAGCCAGGUGAAGGCCAGACUUCCCAACUUCCAGCUGGAACACUGAAUUUCAUGUCUCAAUGUGCUGCAGCUGAAAAAUGACCAAGUGCCUCUGUUAAAGGAGUGAAUUGGAUCCUGCCUUUGUGCCAACAGGAGUUUCUGCACAGGACUCAGAACGUGAUAUCCUAGGGUCAGCGUGUUCUUUGCUCUGGUCAGAUCACACAGAUGGAGACUCCUCCAAGCAGCCCUCCUGGCACAGUGGUGUUUUUAUUGGAGAGCAAAAACUGGGAAAAUGGUAGUAACAACUACAUAACAGAUACUACCAAACAGGCUGUUGGUGUUGAGGGAUCAGGCAAGUGUUUCCACCUCAGGGUGAUGAGUCAAACAGUGAAGUGUACUGUAGGCUGAGGGAAAUCUGCCCAUCCUUUUGUCAGCAUAAGGCUUUUUUUUAGAUACAGGAGAGUUUGUCUGAGUGCAUCAGCAACUUGAGCGGUUUGCACUUCUGCAGCCUUUCUGGGGACAGAAGGGUACUUUCCAAGUCCCUGCAGAAAGUGCCACUGCCUAAGGACACCACAAACUCCUCUCCCGGGACCUUCACCACACCAGGGCUGGUGGAACCCAUCAGUGCUCCUGUGGUGGGCUGUGUGCACCUCUGCAUGUGGAGAAAGCAGCAUCUGUGUUCAUUUAACUUCAUGGCAGGAUCCUGAUCCAGCACUUAAAAAUAACAACUUUAACAGGCCCAGCUCAGGAAUGAUCAUAGCCAAGGCCCAAGGAGAGGCUCAGAGCUGUCUCUGUGUUCAGCAGACCACUGGCUGAAACCAGGCAAAAAUGUGGUGUGCCUUGUGCUCAGUGUUGUUUGUGUAGAUGUUUCUGGGACAAGGAGGUGUGAUCUAACCUCCACUGCUGUCAAAAAGGGAUUGUUUCAUUUUUCCCUCCUGUUUUCCACAUGAAGCCAUGUUCUCUUCAUUCACUCUAUGGUGGCUCUGGUGCUUGGUGGGUCAGCUCAUACCAUUCAAGUGUCUGAAAUGGGUUGUCUUAUUCUUCCUCUGGUCAGAUUAGUGAAAUGAACUGACUUCCUGGUGGAGAUUUGAUUUAUCAGCACUCUUUGCCACCUGUAGAUUGCAUUUUACUUAGUGACAUCUGUGGAAAGAUCUAGAGAUGUUGGGUGUUAGAUGUGUGCUAUUACUACCAAGUAUUAGAGAAGUUUGGGCUUUUCUGUGUUGAAAUUAAGGCUAUACUUGGACUUAACUGUGUACCAGAGCAUGCACAGGAUCAGUGUGUGAGUCAUUGACACCAUGGUGGC